rnacentral:lncRNA from 1 species
CCUUUUAAAGUGAAACUCACCGAUAUUCGUAUGUUUUUAGAGAUAAAUAUUAAAGUAUAUUAAAGUAUAUUAAAGUAUAUUAAAGCCUUUUAAAGUGAAACUCACCGAUAUUCGUAUGUUUUCAGCUUCCUGUUGAAGCUCAGCGGUUCUCCCAGCCACCGGUACGAUCUGCGCACUCUCAGUCUGCUCGAGUACUUCAUCCUCUGCCUGCACGAGCUCGGAUCGAUCGAUAAUCAAUACAGGAAUCAGACUUAAAUCCCGAUCUGAAACCGUUAAUCAAUCAAACACAAACAGUCAGACGGACAAACGAGCCGAGCGACAUUUCCCGCGAAAACCGCUCCCGUUCAACCCCUCCGCCUCUACGUCACAGCAUAUGACUUCCGGCUCUUUUGAAUGGGCGGGAAGGCUGUCAAUCAUUUUCAUCCGGCCAAUCAGAGGCUUACUAUUAAACCUGGAGGUUGCUUUUACGUGAAGCACCUGAAUGCAGCUCAGUUUUAGAAAGGAGUGAUAGAUGAUAAAGAGUUCAACAGAAAUCAAACUGUUGGAGGAAGAGAAGAGACAGAAGCAGCCAGUGAAGAUGUCCCUCAGUUGUCUCCGGGCUUCUGACCCAAACGUCAGCGUUGUGGAUGUUCUGUACUACCAGAACCGGGACCAUGAGAACCUGUAUGAGGGGAGCGGUGCACCUCCACUCUGCUCCUCCUCCCCCCCGCCUCCCCCCUCCGGCUGCAUGGUCUGUUCCAACCGGUCCGUCCUCGUCGUUUGCUCCGAGCUGCAGCAGGAUGAGGAGCUGGUGAUGGAGGGAGCGGGUCGACACAUCGCCAUUACAGCGAGUGGUGGGAGCUUCAUUUAUACAUUAUAUUAUUAUUAUUAUUUUAUUAUUAUAUUAUUAUUUAUACAUUAUAUUAUUAUUAUUAUUAUUAUUUAUAUAUUAUAUUAUUAUAUUAUUAUUAUUAUUAUAUUAUUAUUUAUACAUUAUAUUAUUAUUUUAUUAUUAUUAUUUAUACAUUAUAUUAUUAUUAUUAUUUAUAUAUUAUAUUAUUAUUAUUAUAUUAUUAUAUUAUUAUUUAUACAUUAUAUUAUUAUUAUUAUUUAUAUAUUAUAUUAUUAUAUUAUUAUUUAUACAUUAUUAUUAUUGUUAUUGUUUAUAAAUUAUUAUCAUUAUUUAUUAUGUAUACAUUUUUAUUAUUAUUAUUACUAUUACUGA